UAAAAAAAAACUCUGAUAUUUUAAAAAUGUUUUAUUUCCCACAUGGUUCGGAAAGUUCUAAAUAAUAUCUAAAUCUAGGAAUUCUUAAGGAAUCACAGAAAUGAUAGUAAAUGAAUGAUAAAGAAAAACCACUCAACCAUAUUAAACUAAAGCACCAUUAUUUUUCUCUUAUAUGAGUUUACAUGCAGUUGAAUCUUGUUUUAUAAAGAGCUCCAAAGUAAGUCAUCUUAGCUUUGUUUCAAAUUUUAAUACAUCUAGACUGUCAAUUUUAGAAUAUAUAUCUGCGAUAAUAUGUGGUUGAAAUUUGAAAGGUAACUAAUCAAGUUAAAGCAAGUUUUCAUAAUGACUAAAUCACUAUAAUUAUGAAAAUGUUUCAUUUUUUUUACUUUACAUUUAUCAAACCAUCGCAAUUAUCAGAACAUUUUCGCCAUUUUAUAGUACAGACACUGUGUGAAAGUUUAUAGACCUUAAUGGUGAUAUUUCACAGUAAAUGUUAUGAAUUGUGGGUAAUUUUACACUAAAAAUUAUGAUAUAAAAUGGUGUGUACUGUGUAUCUUUAAAAGGGCAUCCUAUACUUUACUGUUCUUAAAUAUAGGAAUGCUGACAAUCUUGAUCAAAACUUAAAAACCGAUAUUAAGACUUAAGUUUCAUCUUUAUUUAGUACUAGAAAAGGUUUCUGACAAGAUUCAACUGUAUUUACAUAUAUAUUAAUCUAUAAAUGUUUAUUUACAUUUUUAUAUACAUUUAUGUACAUAUCACUUUCAAAUGCUCAGAUUAAUUCUUUUCUAUAAAUUAGUUUAACUCUAAAAUAUACAUACAAAAACAUCUAUCUUUAUUCUUAGUUCUGUGUCGAAUAAGAAAAACUGUAGUUUUCAAAAGUCAUUAGUAGAAUUAUACAUAAUUUAAACUUUUUUCUUCAAACUAUGUAAAUGCAUCAAUAUUUGUCUUUUCUGAAAGCUUAUGAUAACCAUGAAGUUUUCAAAAACAUAAACUUUAUUUGCAUUGUAUUUUUGAAUAAAUGAAUAAUUGAUUUUAUAACAUAAUUACUGAAUGAAAAAGUACAAAGUAUAUAAAAUAUGCACUGUAUUAAAAUUAUGAAAUUUGCAUAGCACUGUGCCAAAUUUAAUCUUAUUAUGAAAUUUUUCGCAUACUGAGCAUAUUGGAUUUCAUUUCUUUCCAUUUUUUUUGGCAGUUAUAUUCUUUUAUACAUAUAUACAUAACAAAUAUAUCAACAAGCAACAGAUAUAACAAAACAAUAACAAAAUACAUUUAACAUUAAAGCAUGACGAAAUGAUGAAUAUUCAUAUAGACAUAUCCUACAUUUAUGGAUAUAUGAUGUUUGGGGAAAAAUCGUUGCAGAUAUAUGAAUGCUCAUUGACUUAUGCAGAUGUCUUGAUAUUGCAGUUUUGGCUAUUAUAAGUUUUGAAUAUUUUCUUAAUUCUAUUUUUCAGUGUAAAUUAAGCAAGGUUACCAAAUGUAUGUGUUUAGUUUGUAACUUAUAUAUUUUAACUUUCAUAAAAUGACAAUUAAUAAUGAAGGGCCAUUACUAAAAAUCCUUUAAAACAAAAUUUUGUAAAUGGAAAUGAAUAAUAAUAAUGAUAACUCUUCAGUGGCAGAUCCAAGGGGGGGUUCUGGGGGUUGGAACCCCCCUUUUUUUGUUGACGAUCAAUGCAUUUGAAUGGGAGCAUAUAGUUGGAACCCCCCUUUACUCUUGGUUGGGACCACCCUCUCCCUCCUUUUUUAAAAUGGCUGGAAACGCCCCUGCUCUUACAUGAAAUUUAGGAUGAUAUACAAUCAACACUUACAUGUUUGAUACAUAAGUGAAAGUAGCAUAUUAAUUUUCUUUGUGAAUCUAUUGAUAUUGUAUUUAAAAGAUAUAUUAUAACUAAAUGAUAAAAAUGAUGAUUGAACUUAAAUGGAACUUCUAAUUUUCAUAAUGACAAUUGAAUGUAAUAUGUAAGUUACAAAAUAAUAUCAUCAAGUCAUAUUUUAGUCUGAUAAAAUUUCAAUAAAUAAGGAAAAUUUCAGAAAUUGAAUAAUAUUUUAACUAUUUUUUUUAUUUA
rnacentral:lncRNA from 1 species